GAAACAAUUUACAUUUUGUGGAUGUGGAUUUAAAAUUAUAAAUUAAUGAUAUUUAUUUCGAUUUUCCUAGGCACCAUCAAGAGGAAGAUAGAUUGAUGGUUCUGUUUUGUUAGUUCAGUUUAUUUUAUUAGUUUUUCACAAAAAUAUAUUGCAACAAUCAGUAUCAAUAUAAAAUUAUAUUAAAUAUUUUAGGAUAAAAGUCUUUGAUUGUAUAUACAU
rnacentral:lncRNA from 1 species